GAUUUGUGAAAUAAAAUGGGAGAUACUUUUUGGAGAAUUUUGUAAGUUUGGCAAUAGUUCUAUAAAUAAAAAUUUUGAAGAUUUGUGGAUAUAUAUAAGCUCAAUAUAUGUUAUGAUUUUAAGCUUGAUCAAAGAUUUGGAUUGGAGGUUAUUGAGAUUUAAGUGGAUCAAGGUUUAGAAAAAUAGAGUUUUAGGUCCAAUAAGGGUUUCUAAGAU
rnacentral:lncRNA from 1 species